rnacentral:lncRNA from 1 species
GGGAUGCAACAUGGUGCAUCUGGGAGGCCUGCUAACUGGCUAACUUCUCCGGCGUUCCUCCCGGCCGAGGCGUGGGCACAGAAUAGCGCAGGUGAGGCCCAGAUAUGGUGUCUCGAUACGGCGCGGAAGGUAAGCGACCCCCGGGCCGGCGGGUCGGGGAAUGGUGCUGACCUUGGAGGCCUCGGUCCGCCACGCCGCCCUUGAGCCUAAGGUCGCCGAACGACCGCCGCCCCCCACCCCUCCACUUCCGCCUCAGCAUGGCCACCCUGACUCGACUACCUGCACUGCAUGGUUCACCGACCUGUGAGCCCACGGAUCUGGCUGUGAGCCCAGCCUUCGGCAUCACAACUCAUUCCUUCCUCCAGCGCCGGUGCAUCUCGGGCCAUUCAUUCCCUGCGCCUUCCAGCAUCUGCUCCUCCAGCUUUUGCAGAUCAUGGCAGGGGCGCCUGCCCAGCCCCCCCCCCCCCCCCCACCACCACCACCACCACCGGGAUGCGGUUCUCCAGCUUCCUCUCGCUGCUCAUCCCAGUUUGAAGACAUCAUUUUCCAGUUUUGGAGCCGACUAAUGAACUAGUUCUUAAGUGAAAGGCAUUUAACACGACUGUGCAUCUACAGGUACUAGGUUUCCAAGAUGCCUUUCCAGACUAAAACCCACACAUGUGAGCCGCUGGCCGGACAAACAUCUGGCACCUAACGUGGGGCUGAAAAACAGCAGAGGACAUUUGGAAGAAACACUGCUGGUUUGGAGCUCCAUAGAAGAAGAAAAUAAUUAAAGGAAAUUCAUACCAGAGAAGGUCAGUAUGGGCUAAGCUGAAACAGCGUUUAACCUGAGCGCUAAUUCGCUUAGGUUCAGCAGUGAGGCAUCUCAGGAGCUAGGAACGUAACAGGCGGUUAGCCAUAGCUCCCAGAAGCUACAUUUUUAGGCGUGAGAAAAGAAAGGGUUUAUUAAAAGGAAAUUAAUAAUAAGGCGGA